rfam:Ornithorhynchus anatinus chromosome 3, whole genome shotgun sequence.
AGCAGCGUGGCUUAGUAGAAAGAGCCUGGGCUUCGGAGUCAGAGAUCAUGGGUUCGACUCCCGGCUCUGCCA